CAUCGUUAUUUUUAUUAUCUUCUUCUCUUAGGCAACCGUUAUUCGAGAACAUGAGAACGCCGGUCUUUCUCCCACGUGUGUGAAAAGAAUUCAACGUAUCCUCAACAAAGGUGCUGACGUCUGCUCACGCGCUUUCGGCGACAAUCUCAGUUGCCCUUCUUGCUGUUGUACGUGGUACCACUUCUUCCCUUGCAGAGAGAGAGAGGAAAAAAAAUGGUGGCUUUUCUAAGGAUUUAUAAGUCGGAUGCCUGCAUCGCUGUCUUUUUGUUUAUAUUUCUUUAAUUGAACGACGAAUUGUCCGGAUGUUCGCAGGCGUAACCUGAUAUUCGCUACAGACGCACAGUGUCGUUUAUUUGUUAUGGAAUUAUCAAUAUCUCGGCUCCGUCGUAUUUGUCCAUUAUUAUUUUGCUUCAUUCAUCUGUGAGUAGAAGUGCACGUGCUGAUUCAUUCACCAUAUGAUUGAAAUGUUAGCUCUAAUUUGAGUGAGUCGCGGCUGCUCUGACAGUUGAGCUUUGCGUGCGUCCUUUAGCAAAGGCAAAAGCUUUGCGCCCGUAUCUGUAACGAGAAUUGCAUCGCACAUGAGGCUAGAAGAGAAAUACGUGUAUCAUGCUUAGAUGGCUUCUAAGAAACUUCACUACCAACGUUACUCGGUCGUUCACCCAACGGGAUGUAGAAGAAAAUCUAUUACCAUUUGUGGAAGACGGAAAAAGAAACUGAUUAUGGCUAGCUUUCGCAAAAUAGGUUGUCACGACUGAAAAACUGCAUCCAGGCAAAUUGCUGCUCCCUCAAAGGGCUUCAGUUAAGCACAUAACACACUCUACAUGCGGCUCUGAUCAUGAGUAAAUGUUUGACUGGGUGACAUGUUUUUAAUUCGCUGUUUUCUACUGCUAUAAAUGUGCGAAGGUAUGAAUGAGGUCUUUACUUUGCGAAUGAAUUCUAUAACCAAACUGAAAGCUUUCGGAGUCAGGCCAUUUUCUCACGUCAGCGCACCGUAAUUCAACUUCGGGAGAUGUAUUUCCACUACUUAUUUAUAACUAUAGUAACCGCAUGUUUUCUACCAGUUGGAUGAAUAGACUACAUUUGUUAUGGUGCACAUUUUUUGUAUAGAAUCGGAAAGGCUGCAGAGCCUUGUCGUAGUCCCUCGAAAAUCAGAGCAAGAUUUGUCUAUUACGCCGGUGGAUACCGUCCCACUGUCCCCAUAUGUAGGCAGAAAUGUUGAACGUUUCUUUCAAUCUCAUUUUGCACCUGCAUGCUGCCUUUGACAUUGUGCUCUUGGCCUCAGUCACCAACUAUGCGUUUUGUCUCUCGCCGGGAACCGCUCGCUUUGUCAAACAUACGCACAAUUAUAAUUAAAGAAAGAGAGACGAUAGUUAUGUACGUCUUCAGGCGCCUGCGCAUUGCCUGUUUGUUGCGAAGAGAGGCGGCCUGGAAGAUUGAGAGAGUACAAGCUUUUGCAACUGUGCACUCACAGUUUGUCCUUGGCAUCGGCGUUUCUUUGUAGUUUGGCUGGCCGUCUUCAGCAUUGUAAAUAUCGAACACUGUUUGUUGCGUGACUUCUUCUGGGUAAACAAUUCCGUGUUUGUACCAGCGUCCGCUUCA
rnacentral:lncRNA from 1 species